rnacentral:misc_RNA from 1 species
GCUCAUCUUUUAGGUCAUUUUCCUGCAGCACUCGUUCCUAUUACAAGAGCUUGUCCAAUUUCACUUGGACUUUUAAUAAUAAAAGAAAAACAUGGCCCACUCUAUUGUUAGAUAACAAAACCCAUUUAAAAGUUAAAGCCCAGAAAGUUGGCCUAGUCCUAGUUGCGAAUGGAAGUUCCAGAGUAUUUUUAAUAUACUAAACUAAUAACCAGCAAUACAUAAAGUACAAAUCUAAAUUAUUACUGAAGUGUAGGUGAAUCUGUUUUCGCAUGUGUUUUUUUCAACUUCAACAGCCUCUUUAUGAAGCUGUAUACAAGUAGACUCCUCCAAGGCUCAGUUUAUUGAAUUAUGCUCUCGUGUAUGCUUACACGAGGCAUAAAAGAGUCUCUGCAUGCAAGUCAUUUGUGAAAAGGUUCAAAUUAGGUCCUUAUCUCCUAUUGCUGAGAUUUCAUCCAUGCUAAUUUUGGCAAUGCUGGGACUCAUUUAAUUAGGGUGCUAAAAAAAAAAAAAAACUAAAGAAA